rnacentral:rRNA from 1 species
GUGGUGCGACAGGAGCAGUCUGACCCAGCAACGCCGCGUGAAGGAAGAAGGCUUUCGGGUUGUAAACUUCUUUUAACAGGGAAGAGAAGAAGACGGUACCUGUUGAAUAAGCCACGGCUAACUACGUGCCAGCACCCGCGGUAAUAACG